GUGACAGAAUUCAGAGAUCAGAAGGCAUCUGGGCUCAUCUAAGCACUUUUCUGCCUGCUCAGGGAAGAUCUUCCAGAAAGGAGCCUGUACUUUCCACUAUCCAGCCAUGCUCCUGCUGCUCACCCCAGUCCUUCAGAUGCUUUUUGCCUUGAGAGAUGCCAGAGCCCAGACAGUGAGCCAGCCCCAGGUCCACAUCUCCAUCUCUGAAGAAGCCUCCCUGGAGCUGAAAUGCAACUACUCCUAUAGUGGAUUUCCUUCUCUCUUCUGGUACAUCCAAUACCCCAGCCAAGGCCUCCAGCUUCUCCUGAAGUAUGUAUCAGGAGACAACAAGGUUAAAGGCAUUAAAGGCUUUGAGGCUGAAUUUCAGAAGAGUGAAUCUUCCUUCAACUUGAGGAAACACUUGGUCCAUUGGAGCGACUCAGCUGUGUACUUCUGUGCUCUGGGUGACACAGUGUCUGGGACUCCAGGGGCAGCUCAACACAAACCACUAUCAUAG